CAAUCAGUAGGAAAAUAUCAGUAGCUUCACUAGCUAGUACCUUUAGCUGUCUAUUGGGUACAUAUUAUAGUGAAUUUUAGCCAAAUGAAUUGCGGGGUAUUAUAGUCAUUCAUCACGACAAUUGAUUAAUAUCUCCCUCUACAGAUCUGUUCUUCCCCAAUUUUCAAUGUAGCAACUCAAACCCUAGAUCAAUCACUAUGGCAUCUUCUUCUUUUGCCAGUGUUUCAGCACUAAAAUCAACUCAUUAUGUGAUGGUUGAAUCAGGGAGCAUUAAGCGGAUUGUUGGCCCAAUUCCUUUAUUAUGUAAUUCUCUUUUAUCAGGUUCCCAAGCUGUUGUGCGUAUAUAUGCUCAUUUACAGCAAGUGAAAUCCUUGCUAUGGAUGGAAAUUAAUGGUACUCGAAUGGUUGGUAUCUGGGGUAUGGGAGGAGUAGGAAAGACGAUAUUUGUAAGAGCCAUUUGGAUGGCUUCUCUGAUCAGGGCAUUCUGGUUGGUUUGGUAAUGGCAGUAGAAUUACCAUAACAACUAGAGACAGUCAUUUGAUAGGGAAGAAUGAAGAAGUCCAUGAACUGACUACACUUCGGUGUCUGCACAAAUAGCUUUGAGUGUAGCCAUGGAUUUUUUUAUAAGAGUUUUCAAUAAAUCUAGCAAGAAAUCUCGGUAGUAGAAGAUGAAAUAGUAGAAGAGGAGAAACUCAUUAAUGCAAAGGCUGGGUCUGUUCUGGGAGCAUUUGCCUAAAUAUGGUGCAAGAGAUCCGGAACCACAUUCACGGUCUGGAAGAGAGGAAGCUCCAAGCGAGUUGCAUGCCCCUGUUAAGGAGCAUCGACGCAAAAACUGAGUCAAAGUGAGAGGAGGUGACCCAAUUGGUCUGCUAUUAUUAUAGGCCCUCCACCACUGCUUGGCUAGCCCAAUCAUAUGAAAAGUGGUAUAAUGACUUUGUGGGAUUCUACCAAUUCCAAGUUGUGCAACGUCUUGUGACAAUUUAAAAUAAGCUACGGUGGAUUGGAGCCUAUAGAGCAAGAGAUAUUUCUAGAUAUAAUAUGUUUCUUUCGAGGGUAUGAUUCCUUGAGAGUUGUGGAUUUGAACCUACUAUCGGAUUAAGUAUCCUAAUUGAAAAAUCUCUUGUGUUCGUCUCUGAAGAAUAUACAAUUCAAAUGUAUGAUUUGAUACAAGAUAUGGGUAAAUAUGCAGUUAAUAUGAAAAAUGAUCCUGGAGGACAUAACAGACUAUGGCGCGUUGAAGAUUUGGAAGACGUGAUGAUCAACAGUACAGUAAGUGACUAAAGCAAUAGAGGCAAUCUGGAUUCGUUAUCCUCCAAACCUAUGUUUUAGCAAAGACACCAUGAAAAAUAUGAAAAGACAUGGUAUAUUACGCAUAGAUAAUGUGAUGAAUGUUUGAUCCAUGAUGGCUUAAUAGAUAAUGCGAUGGAUGUUAUGAGUUGCCAUGAUAGCUCUAUCGGUUAUUUGUCCAACAACUUGUGUUGGUUUGUCGGGGAUUGCUAUCCUUUGGGACCACUUUCAUCUAAUUUAAACCAAAAGACUUGGUUUGUCUUUGAUUCACACGGAGUUCACUACGUCAAUUGUGGAGACAAAUAAAGGUCUCAGUAAUUCCAAAUUUUAGAGCUCUUCAGAAGUUGACCUUUUUAUCUUACAUUAUAAGAAAAAAGUAAUUCCAAAUUGUAGAAUACUUACAACUUGGUCAGAGCAGGGCAGGCCCUCCUGGAACUAGUGCGACGCUUGUCACUACACUUUGCAAAGGCUGAUAACAACAUCCGUGCUGCAGCUCAUGGAUGCUAAGAUUACAACAUUACAGGAGUUUCUAAGCGAGAAAACUGUUUUGAGGGCACUACGUGUCGUGUGCUCAAGAUUUAAUUUGUCAAGAACCGCGAUUGCUCUGGGCAUUAUUGGACCUUUGUUGAUUAGGGUAAUUGCUUGACCAUCUCACGGAUCACUUUCGUCAGUUAAUUUUUUCUGUUGAUUUGAUCUUUUAUAACUUUUUUCCACUUCACCUGUUGAAAUAAGUUCUUGUUUCUCCUUUUUGGUUUUCAUUUCUUUUACCCUAUUAAAAGUCCACUCUAGUGCAACUCAUAUUUAUAUUGACUCCAUUCUCCCUUAGUAAUUCAUUUUGAGUCACCUCCAGAAUUCCAAAGGUAGAUUUUAUGACACCUGUAAGCAUAUUUAGACAAAGGACAAUUCCUUUUUACACUUGGAUGAAGCUUAGAACAUUUUUAGCUGCUCCAUUCAUUUUCACUGACAUUGAAUGCUGAAGGUUUAAAUGUCUUUUCAAUUCCCUGUCUUUUCAGUUGUUAGUGUGACAUAUUAACUGUCAUUACAUCUUUUGAGUGAAUUAUUGUGAAAGUAAUUAUUGUGACUGGUGCUUCUGUUAUUAUGCUAUUCACCCAGAUGUGUUUUACUUGCUUUUAAAGCUAUUUUCUUCACCGUGUAAGUUAAAACCCAAAUUAGUGGGGCGGGCAGGUCCUCCAAAUGUGCAUUUUUCAUGUCUGAUUGUAGACGGCAAAAUUGAGUGAAAUCAUAUUAAAGCUGCUAGACAUGUAUGAUUCAUCUUGGCGCUUAUAGGUGAAAAUGACAUUACUCAAUGAAGAAACUAAUUUUGUAUGAAACUUAAAUUAGAAGAAGAUACAAUUUUCGAGUGCACGUUAAAUUUGAAUUUAAUAACUAAACAUACUUACCUUCUCUUUUCUUCAUCUUGGUCUUUAAAGAAAUCUUCCAUCAUUUUUGCUGCUUUUCCCUCUCCCUUUCACUUCUUCAGUAGAUUGUUUUUAACUCAUCAUAUGUUUGAGUUCCAAGUAUUCUUAAUUAGAAAGGGGAAUAGUCAUUGAUCAAGGGUUUUCUUUUCCUUCUACACAAGGUUCAGGAUUUCUUUUAGAAGUAAUGCAACCUUAAAUAAUUUGUACCCUAUUUUGGUGGAUGUUUUCUUGUUUCAUUUUACCUUUUCUUCCCCAUUCUUUUGUUCAGGAGAUUGCUUUGUUAAGUUUGUUUCAACAUGAAAACAUAGCACAGUUUUUUUUUUUUUUUUUUUUUGUGAUAAGGAAAAACAUUGUGGUAUUAUGAUCAGGGGCGUAGCCACCUUGAAACAAGGGGUUUCAAAUGAUACCCCUUACUAUUUAAAAAAAAAAAAAACUUAUUAUACAUGUAUUUUACAAGCAAAAAAGAUGCAUGAUAAAUACAACAGUUGAAUCCCCUCGACUUGAAUAGAAGCGCCUAAUCUUAGCUUAUUUCUAUGAAAGUUGAAUCCCCUUACUGAAAAUUCUGGCUCUGCCACUGAUUUUGACACACAAGGACAUUCUUGCUUCUUGCAAUUCUAUUGCUUCCUCGAUUGUACUCCUUUUGCUCAUUUCAUUGGGAGUCCAGAUUUGUUGUUCAUCUGUCUCGUGAUUGCUUGUUCUGUUCUAUGCAAAUUGGAAGUUGUUUUACUUUACAGCAGGUGUCAUGUAUGCUGUUCAGACUGGAGAAUUCCCACCACUUUUUAGUAGAGUAGCUAGAGGCAUCUGGAGUAUGUUCGUAGACAUGUUUGGUCUGCAGUGGGUUAUGUGUUGCAGCUUGAGAAAAGCUUUCAUUAGCCGUAGUAUUGGAAAGUGGAGAAAAUCCAACAAUCUAAGACCAGAUUCAAUAGCAGCUCCUGCAGGACCUGCACGCAUUGCACUUUCUAACAUCUUGAGCUCGGUAUUGUAUAACUUCAAGUAGAUAGCAAAUCGCUGUCUAGCCGAAGCUGCAUUUUUUGGACCCUAUGGAGCUGAAACACCUAUCUAGACGAGUUGUCUUAUGAAUCUGCUUUCUGGUGUAAUUGCAGUGAUGUAAAUGUUAAUUGCUUUUGGGACUUUCUGUUCCAUGCUGCAUCUUUUGUACCUUAUGGAGAAAUAAGAACCAAAGAUGCUUUAAAUGGGGUUGCAACACCUAUCCCUACCAAAGCUUAGGUGUUUUAUGAAUCUGUUUUUCUUUUUGGUGUAAUUACUCUGUUGUAAUCACAUUUUGGACUUUAUUGAUUCUCUAAGUUUUAAGCACAUGACCAAA